rnacentral:rRNA from 1 species
CAACUUUCAACAAUGGAUGUCUAGGCUCAUGCAACGAUGAAGAACGCAGCGAAAUGCGAUACGUAAUGCGAUUUGCAUAUCUUCGUGAAUCAUCAAAAUUUUGAACGCACAUUGCGAUUCCGGGAUAUUCCUGGGAUCAUACUUAUCUGAUUGUCCG